GACGAACGCUGGCGGCGUGCCUAAUACAUGCAAGUUGAGCGCUGAAGGUUGGUACUUGUACCAACUGGAUGAGCAGCGAACGGGUGAGUAACGCGUGGGGAAUCUGCCUUUGAGCGGGGGACAACAUUUGGAAACGAAUGCUAAUACCGCAUAAAAACUUUAAACACAAGUUUUAAGUUUGAAAGAUGCAAUUGCAUCACUCAAAGAUGAUCCCGCGUUGUAUUAGCUAGUUGGUGAGGUAAAGGCUCACCAAGGCGAUGAUACAUAGCCGACCUGAGAGGGUGAUCGGCCAAAUUGGGACUGAGACAAGGCCCAAACUCCUACGGGAGGCAGCAGUAGGGAAACUUGGGAAAUGGACGAAAGUCUGACCGAGCAACGCCGCGGGAGUGAAGAAGGUUGUCGGAGCGUAAAACUCUGUUGGUAGAGAAGAAAGUGGGGGAGAGUGAAAAGCUCAUCAAGUGACGGUAACUACCCAGAAAGGAACGGCUAACUACGUG
rnacentral:rRNA from 1 species